rnacentral:lncRNA from 1 species
GGCGUCUGCUCCGGUUCAGCUGCAGGAGGUUUCUUGGGAGUUCAGCCCAGCGCGCAGCCCCGCCGCGACGCCGCGAGCCGAGAACUCUCCUGGGGCGAAGGGAGCGCUGAGAAGUCGCUACUCUUACUAAAAGGAUGCGUUGGAUGCUGGGCCAUACCCUUGGCGAUGCACACUGGAGACCCGCUCGGAUACGGACUCCAUUAACAUCAAACGGAGCGUGUUAGAGGAUCCGAGUUUACUGAGCACUUUCUAGGAAGCGUGCACUGAGCUACGUGCUUUCUAGGCCUUAGUUCAAUACUUAACCAUAUUCAUUAUAAUCCGGUGAAAUCGUAAUUAUUUAGCCUUAUUUUACAGAUGAGGACACUGCGUACCAACAAGUAACCUCACUAAGAAUUUCGUCAUGGAGGAGAAGGGAACCUGUAUUCAAAUUAGGAAGGAUCCUGAAGAAAGGGCACCUUUAGGUGGAAUUUUAUCUUUGGUUCUGCUGCAGAGUACUUGCUGCUUUUUAGUGCUCCCUCCACCCCCCUCAUUCUUCCUUGUAGAUUAGUCUGUUGUUUGUAUGCUGAGUUCCUUUUUUAAGCUCCUUGAAAGUUGGAACCCACUGCUGUUGCCUGUUCAGGAUGCUACACAUUGAAUCAACAUGGAUUUAUUAAGCGCUGAACGAGGGCUAGGGAUCGUGCUGGGUGCUGAGGAUUGAGUGGCGAACACUUGGGUCAGACAAGUAAAAGGGCAAUUAGAAUAACUGUUAAAUGCUUAGAUGGGGUUAGUUCUAUGGAAGCACCCAUGGGGGUGGGAUACAGAUCAGAGAGAAAAGGGUGGUCUGCAAAUAGUUUGGGAUGGCUACACUGGAGAGUGAUCAAGAGUGAGUGUAGGGCAGGGGUUGGCCGACUUUUUCCAUAAAGUGCUCUGAAAGUUGCAGAUUCCAGGAGAAGUAACUAUUGUCAGACCCAGACAAAUUGGAGCCUAGAGACCAGAAAGGAAGGAAACUCAUGCUUGUAUGUCUGAGAUAAGAACUGUCUCAAGGCCAGACGCGGUGGCUCACACCUGUAAUCCUAGUACUUUGGGAGGCCGA